rnacentral:rRNA from 1 species
AAAAACACCUAGUAUUGGACAAAAUGAGUUGCUUACAAACAAGCAGUAACAAUGUAACAUACAAGUUUUUGAACUCCACAAACAUUUCUAAAUUAUUCAAUUUUCUGAACAUACAAAUAUGUCUGGACAUACUGGCACAUCUUUCUCAAUAGACUGAUACAUCUCUCUAAAUCUUUCCAAUUUCAUAUGAAUUUCUUCUACUUCUGUCGCGUGCCCAUCUCCACAUCUAUAGCCUUGUUCAUGCGAGCUUCAACUUGGAUUCGAGAUUCCUCCAACUGUUUCUUCUCUGUUUUCAGACAAUACAUAGUAUCACGCAAUUUAUUGAGCAGCGAAUUCAGAAAUGAAGUAUUUGGAUCAUCAUGCCACUCAAAGAACCUGCACUCCACACCCUGACAUUGCAUUGAACUCAGCAAACAUUGCAUUAAACCUGCAGUCCACAAACUAUGCCGGAGAUCAAGGUGUUGCUGUCGUCGUCGCUGGUGCGCCCAUGACCUCCACCAACACGAGCACGGAACUACAUGUCCACUGUGGCUGGACUGCACCACAGACACCCAGACUGAGCUCAAGGUGAGGCAUCUCGAAACAUAGGUAGUUGUCGUCGGGAUGAGAGGUGGUGGUAGCUCGGACUAGUAGCAGCCCCGUCAGGCGCGCGCCCAUGAGCGACAAAAGAGCAGCUCGUCUGUUGUGUAGAGAGGUUAGGGAAGGGAGGGAAUCCCCGGUGGCAGUGGAUGAACCACACGAGGGCGCCGGGCGCACUGCUCAUGGGAUCCGGCUGCACUGCACGUCUAAAAUCCAAAAGAAGAUGAAAAAAGGCCCUUAUGAACUGCAUGGGGGUCGUCGGCAACACUGACCUUCAUCACCAUGGAAUCCCAAGCAAGAGGGUAGCUGGCAGAAGGUCGCCACCACUAUCUCUACUGUGCUCGAGCGCCACGACGGUGAAGAUAGGGGGAAGAGCACCCGCGGGAUCAGAGUGGCAGUAGUGCCCGAGGCAGGGGACAACGAGAGAGAUCCAGGGAGGGGAAUCCACGAUGAGGAGCUCUCUAGGGGGCGUGGCUUGGCACUAGGGCGGCCGCCCCCAAGGGGCCUUGGAUCUGCGCAUCGGGCGGCCCUGGACGUGGUCAGCGAAGGCAGGAAUCGACGGAUCCUGCGGAUCGGCGCGUGGCGUUGUUGUACAUGGGCGGCCGCGCAUCAAUGGGAUCCGAACGUGGGCAGCCAGCACUCCUUGACCUCAUCAGCUCAGAUCCAGGAGGUUGGGCGCGGGCACCGUGGCCUGUGGCCGGGAGGGUGAAUGCAGGCGGCGGCCGGAGGCCAGGAGACUGGGCGCAGGCGGCGACGCGGUCGAGGGUCAGGAGGCUGGGCGCAGGCGGCGAUGCGCCCAGGGGCAAGAAGGUUGGGAGCGGGCGGUGGCUUUGCCGGGCGCCGGCAGGGAAGGGAGGUGGCGGAGGGCGGCGUUGGGGAGGGAGAAGGCGUCCGACGGCUUGAGGAGAGGAGGCGGGUUGUGGUUGGGCACGCCGCCGCCGGUGGCCUGUGGGCACGGCGAGAGAGUGGAUCAGGCUGUGAGAAGAGAGAUGGGUAGGUGGGCUGGAGGUGGGAAGGGGAGAGAGAAUGGCUG